CUUCCUCGUCGGCGUUGGUGGCCGGACGGGCUGGUGCGGCGGCGACUGCAGCCGACGCCGUUCAAAGGAACGAAAGACACAAAAGUCAGAACAGAGGCCAAAAGGACAACUUUGCUGAAGGACUCCUUUUAUGGCCAGGUGCUAUCCUUCCAUCCAAAGACUUCUCUAAACAGCCUUGAGGCAGCUGAGUCUGUGGGCAGCUGGUAGGUGACAAAAAUAGACGUCAAAGAUCGAUAAGAAACAUGGAUCUGAUACCUUUUGAAAAUUGAAGUUAACAAAGGUUUUUCUAUGAUUAUAUGGACUGUUCCUGUGUGGGAAAGUUUAUUUUCCAUUUGCAAUUAAUAGACUCACUGAUUCACCAUCAACAGUGAUAAGUUCCUCCUGAAUGAUACUUGAUCUUCACCAAAUGCAGUUAGCACUCAACCAGUCUACUUCUAUUACCCUGUAACAUAUCCUGAGUAGCUGCUUUGCAUAACCAUCUAAAUACUGUUUGUUUUAUCAUUUUAAAUGCAUGGAUACCUCAUCUUCCUAAUUUUAGAUCUUAAGCUUCCUGAGGACAAGAUACAGUUCAACCUUUGGUGGAAAGAUCCCUGGAGAGAUAGUCAGGUUAUGGAAAUUUGUACAAUUCUUUCUGAGUCUCAGAUUUCUCUAAGUC